rnacentral:rRNA from 1 species
GCCUACGGGGGGCAGCAGUAAGGAAUAUUGGUCAAUGGUCGGGAGACUGAACCAGCCAAGCCGCGUGAGGGAUGAAGGUACAGAGUAUCGUAAACCUCUUUUGUCAGGGAACAAAGGCGGGGACGUGUCCCCGGAUGAGUGUACCUGAAGAAAAAGCUCCGGCUAACUACGUGCCAGCAGCCGCGGUAAUACGUAGGGAGCAAGCGUUAUCCGGAAUUAUUGGGUGUAAAGGGUGCGUAGACGGGAUAACAAGUUGGUUGUGAAACCCCUCGGCUCAACUGAGGAACUGCAACCAAAACUAUUAU